rnacentral:rRNA from 1 species
UACGGAGGAUGCGAGCGUUAUCCGGAUUUAUUGGGUUUAAAGGGUGCGCAGGCGGAUUUUUAAGUCAGCGGUCAAAUCGUGGGGCUCAACCCCAUCCAGCCGUUGAAACUGUGUCCCUUGAGUGCGCGAAGGGUAGGCGGAAUGCGUGGUGUAGCGGUGAAAUGCAUAGAUAUCACGCAGAACUCCGAUCGCGAAGGCAGCCUACCGGCGCGCUACUGACGCUCAUGCACGAAAGCGUGGGUAUCGAACAGG